rnacentral:rRNA from 1 species
AUGCAGUCGAACGGCAGCACGGGAGCAAUCCUGGUGGCGAGUGGCGAACGGGUGAGUAAUAUAUCGGAACGUGCCCAGUCGUGGGGGAUAACGUAGCGAAAGCUACGCUAAUACCGCAUACGAUCUACGGAUGAAAGCGGGGGAUCGCAAGACCUCGCGCGAUUGGAGCGGCCGAUAUCAGAUUAGCUAGUUGGUGGGGUAAAAGCCCACCAAGGCGACGAUCUGUAGCUGGUCUGAGAGGACGACCAGCCACACUGGAACUGAGACACGGUCCAGACUCCUACGGGAGGCAGCAGUGGGGAAUUUUGGACAAUGGGCGCAAGCCUGAUCCAGCAAUGCCGCGUGCAGGAUGAAGGCCUUCGGGUUGUAAACUGCUUUUGUACGGAACGAAACGGUUCGCUUUAAUACAGUGGGCUAAUGACGGUACCGUAAGAAUAAGCACCGGCUAACUACGUGCCAGCAGCCGCGGUAAUACGUAGGGUGCGAGCGUUAAUCGGAAUUACUGGGCGUAAAGCGUGCGCAGGCGGUGAUGUAAGACAGAUGUGAAAUCCCCGGGCUCAACCUGGGACCUGCAUUUGUGACUGCAUCGCUAGAGUACGGUAGAGGGGGAUGGAAUUCCGCGUGUAGCAGUGAAAUGCGUAGAUAUGCGGAGGAACACCGAUGGCGAAGGCAAUCCCCUGGACCUGUACUGACGCUCAUGCACGAAAGCGUGGGGAGCAAACAGGAUUAGAUACCCUGGUAGUCCACGCCCUAAACGAUGUC